GUUGGCCUGGCUGCAGGAGCUGAAGUCGGCGUAGGCAGACGCCUCCAUGGCGGCCAUGCAGGAGUCGUAGGAGUUGAGGUUCAACCAAUUUUCCUGGUAUGGAAGUUAGACUUACGAGCCUGUAAUUGCCAGGAUCGUCUCUGGAGCCUUU